AAGUUCGCGCCAGCGGCAAAGCCGGGGAAGACCCCCGCGCUCCUCUCCGGCUCCCGCCCGCUCAGUGCCACCUAGCCCUGCCCUCAGCUGUGGGUGCCUAGCCGUCGGCGUGCCAUCUCCCCGGCAGACUGUAAGCCCCGCGCGCCGCUGGGCGGCCUGUCCUAACUUUGGGAGCCGUUUUGCGAGCGCGGGGAGACAACUCGGGAGGUAGUGACUGAUUUGACCUCGAAAGGUCAAUGGAAAUGGCUGAGAAGAACUUCCAUCUUUGAAGAGUGGAGCUGUAGGCCCCGGCCCCAGUUCGGGCAGACUCAUCCACGAGUUACCCUGAUGCUGAAGUUCAUCCAAGUCCAUGAAGCGGCUGGGGUGGGGGUUGAACCCUCGAGCCUCCUCUAAUUCCUUCUCCCGCUUCCUUCGGAGUUCCUGUUCCUGGGCCCUCCGAGCCACUUCUUCCUGGAGUUCAUCCAGUUCACUUUUAGAGGAUGAAGACAACUCCCGAAAAAAUUCAACCAUAAAAAGAGUUCACGAAUGACCAGACAGAAAGUGGCAUAAAUGCUGAGAGAAAGGAUUGGAAAGAUCAGUGAAAAGAAAAAACAAACUGCUGGUGGUACCAGAACAGUCACUCUGUUGGAUGUGCACCGAUGAAGACGCUCAGGGCAUCAAAGCUCACCCUUUCCCUUCCCCUCCCCUCUGACUUCUUAAGCUCAGGGUUUUGAGAACUACUCAUUCAAGCCCAAGGCCUAGCAAACACCAAGCUGGAAAUCUGUUGGCUGUUCUGGAACACAGAGGAAGGAGAUGAGAUUGUUUUCAUGGUUCUAGAAGUGACAGUGGCCAAGGAAACAAAAAUGAAGGGAAGAAGCCAUAUCCGUUCUUUAGAAAAUAUAAGGCAACACUGAGGCAUAUGCUUCUCCUCCUCAAUCAUUACCACUGGCUACCUGCUCUAAAGUCCAGGAAGCCAGAGACCCCUGCCUUGUUCAGAUCCCAUGUAAAAAAUGUACUAUAUACUGAUCUGUAGGAACUAGUGCCAUUACAUUCCCCUCCUCACUGCCUGGAAUAGUUGUCCUGAAAGAAGAGUCAAUGGUCAAAACCACACCUCUUCUCCCUUAGUGUCAGUGGUGGAAUAUCCUUUCUUCCUACUCUCCCCCUCACCCUUUUCCCAAAGGACAGCUGAAGGCCAGUAGAUAUUUACUAUUUCUCACAUGGUAUACAAGAUAGAGGGGUUAGUCCAGAUUGAAUGAACCUUUAAUAACUUCAAAAUUUAAAUCAAUCUCUCUCUCUCUCUCUCUCUCUCUCUCUCACACA